rnacentral:tRNA from 1 species
UUUAACUUGGCAGAUUUAAUGCUAUUGAUUUAGAAUCAAUCUAUAAAAAUAUUUUAGUUGGUA